GAUGAACGCUGGCGGCGUGCCUAAUACAUGCCAGUCGAGCGAACGGACGAGAAGCUUGCUUCUCUGAUGUUAGCGGCGGACGGGUGAGUAACACGUGGAUAACCUACCUAUAAGACUGGGAUAACUUCGGGAAACCGGAGCUAAUACCGGAUAAUAUUUUGAACCGCAUGGUUCAAAAGUGAAAGACGGUCUUGCUGUCACUUAUAGAUGGAUCCGCGCUGCAUUAGCUAGUUGGUAAGGUAACGGCUUACCAAGGCAACGAUGCAUAGCCGACCUGAGAGGGUGAUCGGCGACACUGGAACUGAGACACGGGCCAGACUGCGACGGGAGGCAGCAGUAGGGAAUCUUCCGCAAUGGGCGAAAGCCUGACGGAGCAACGCCGCGUGAGUGAUGAAGGUAUUCGGAUCGUAAAACUCUGUGAUUAGGGAAGAACAUAUGUGUAAGUAACUGUGCACAUCUUGACGGGACCUAAUCAGAAAGCCACGGCUAACUACG
rnacentral:rRNA from 1 species